CUGAGUAUAAUAACUGGUUUUAGUUACAGGGGGAAAUGCCGAUCGCAGCUCUGAAUGUUCGGUUCUUGUGGUUUUAGUUGAGGUAACUUCGAUUCUACAUAAGAAAGUGAUCGAAAAUAUGGCCAACCAGCUUUGCAGCCCCCAGUUUCUGUAAGUGUCAUCACAGAAUAUAAUCAGCAGGACGUCACUUUUGCGAACUGAAACUUUUCUCCCUGUUGAGUCAUGGCACAUGGCCGCCGAGAGAUAUUUCUAGACGGCUAUGAGGAGAAAAAACCUUACCGCUGAGUAGGGAUGCCAUGAAAUGUUUCGUGAGCUUAUUUGUUGGCGAAAAUGCUGGAAGUUGAAGUGCUGUUCAAUAUGGAACUGAAGAAUUAUUACAGAAAACUGGACGAUUUUGCUUCGUAAAUGGAGCUGGACACUGACAACCAAUGGGUUAAUGUCCCGAAAAAAGAAAAUUGAACAAAAUUUUAAAUUAAAAAUUGUAUUUGCCAAAAAAUGUGAAACUUUAUACAAUGUACUAUCUAAUAUACAAUUAUUGGAAUAUAAAUGAAAUUCAUGUUUGAUCUG